rnacentral:lncRNA from 1 species
AGCCCCAUCCGCAGUUGGCCAUAAGGCUAAUUAUAAAAACCCAUGGGUUAGAAGAUCAAACUAUUGAAGAGUGUAGGCAAAACCAUGCCCCUCUCAUCUCCCCAUGCUUGCUUUGAUCAAGAAUAUAGGCAACAGUGUUUUUCCAUAUACUAAGAAGAUAGCUUCUAUCCUUUCUGCCCACUUCCCUUACUUACUCAAGGAAGAAACAAAUUACUUACAUAAUGGAUGAGGCCAUAUACAGGGUCAUUAUACACUGACUACCUAAGCUCCUUUUGUGUUUCUCUUUCAGAGAGGUCUGCACCACAGGCCAUGUGUUCUCUCCCCAUGCAGUGGCGGUGCCUUGUGUUGGUGAAAGUCAUUACUGAUCAUUCAUCUGUAGCAAGUCAUCCCUACGUAUCUGUACACGGAAGUGACAGCACAGGGAGAAUUCUGACAAAAGAGAUGAAGGCUCCUAGGCAUGGUGGGAGAGCCAGAAGGUAAGACGGAACAGCAGCUCGAGGAGGUAGGUGAUAAAAACAAAACAGAGGAAGGAGAAGCCACA